AUGGCAGUCUCCAGGGUGUGCAUUUCCGUAGGCUUGCUGGGCUUCCCACCUCCUUGCUGUGGGUGUCUGGUUUCAGGGCUGCUCGCAGACAAAGGAUCGCCUAUGAAAGCGGUGACACCCCUAGAUCAGGACACCCGUCUCCGCAAAAUGGGAGUAUAUGGGAGUAUUUGGCUGCCUUGCCCUUACCGCCGAGGGUGUAGGUCUCCUGGCCUUGCACUGUCACACCUGAGGACGCUGAGUACCAGGAGAGUCCCUGGUACUCAGAGUCUCCUGAGUACCAGGAGAGUACCAGGAGAGUCCCCUUUCUGAGGCCUGCCUGGUCAGGAGCCUGGAGAACUUAACGAGAAAUUACCACACUUAAUGCUGCUGGUCACAAUAUGGUGAGACCUCUUGGACCAGACUUUUAAUGAAGUCUCCACAUUCCUAUGUUUCCAGAACAUUAAACUAAUAAUGCU
rnacentral:lncRNA from 1 species